rnacentral:rRNA from 1 species
UGGGGAAUAUUGGACAAUGGGGGGAACCCUGAUCCAGCCAUGCCGCGUGUGUGAAGAAGGCCUUAUGGUUGUAAAGCACUUUAAGCGAGGAGGAGGCUCUUUUGGUUAAUACCCAAGAUGAGUGGACGUUACUCGCAGAAUAAGCACCGGCUAACUCUGUGCCAGCAGCCGCGGUAUACAGAGGGUGCGAGCGUUAAUCGGAUUUACUGGGCGUAAAGCGUGCGUAGGCGGCUUUUUAAGUCGGAUGUGAAAUCCCCCGAGCUUAACUUGGGAAUUGCAUUCGAUACUGGGAAGCUAGAGUAUGGGAGAGGAUGGUAGAAUUCCAGGUGUAGCGGUGAAAUUGCGUAGAGAUCUUGGAGGAAUACCGAUGGCGAAGGCAGCCAUCUGGCCUAAUACUGACGCUGAGGUACGAAAGCAUGGGGAGCAAACA